rnacentral:lncRNA from 1 species
ACUAAUCAUACCUUUCUCGGCCUUUUGGCUAAGAUCAAGUGUAGUAUCUGUUCUUAUCAGUUUAAUAUCUGAUAUGUGGAUCAUCGAUCCACACGAUAUUAAAUUAAUAUUUAAAGGGGAGGGCUCAAUGCAGUAGCUUGCUACUGCGAGCCCUGAGCGUCGCCCAUGCGUUGCACUACAGCACGGGCCUGGCGCACCCCCCACCAACUCUUAUGUUUCAAAUUUUGGAGGUUUGUCAGGAUUUGGAUUGAUUCUUAUUUGUCUUAAUUGUCUGUUAAAUAAAUUGUCGAUUGUUAAAUUAAUUUCUUUUUUAGUCUUUGCUAUGAACGCGCAUCGAUAAUUUUAUCACCGAAGGAAGAACAGCCAGAACCUAGACAAUCAUACUCGAAGGUUUAUAUAUGUCAUGAGCAUGUUUGAAAACUCAAGAAAACUCAAAGAAGUGGAAUCUUGUAUCAAAUGAUAUUGAGUUUUUUAAUUUGAGGCUGUUCAGGGAAUCAUUUGAAAGACCCAAGUCACCAAAAUUUAUUCACUAUCCCCCAUCAUCAUUUCAAUAUUCUGUGACUAGAACACUGGUUUUCGGUCUCGACCUCCUUGCAAGUGUAGAGAUGAGUCUUAAAAUAUUUCUGAUAGUCUAAUAUUUCAGUUCGCAUCUCAACCUUAGCAUGGUGGUGUAUCAUAAACAAUUAAUAUCUGCAGAAAAGGACGAAAGGGUAGUCACGUACAACUUCUAUGCACAUCCCAAUGUAAACCCACAAGCUGGAUUUUUAUUUAUUUAUUUAUUCCUUUUUUCUUUUUCUUUUUUUUGGGUGCUUUGAUGAUGGUAGUUCUUUUUCCAUUUAUCAAUCCAAUUAACUGCGUUUCUCUCAUAUUUCCAUUUUCUUCCAAAGCUUUUUUAGAUUAUUCAGCCAGGCUGAAUAAAUUAUAUAAACAUAAGGUCAUAGGCCGUACCUGAAAUCACCAUCUUCAGAAACAAAUAAAUUAAUAAGGAUAUGAAUAUAUGUGCAAUAACGCAUCAAAAACUCUUAACUCAACACUGAAUCCUAAUAUAAAGAAAACAAUAAAUCUUUUAUCUUUCCUUAUUAAAGAUAACAAUCCUGGUUAUAUAUUAACCGCGCAACAAAAACUUCUAAAGCUCUCUGUAUCCUGUAGCGUUUAGUCUAUAUUUCUUCAGUUGAAGAUCAGAAUGGAGGAAAAGCCAGAGCAGCCGAAGCCACCAUCAUCAUCAUCAAAUUGGUCUGACAUCUGUUUGUUCUUCGUGGCGUAGGAUUCUAAUGGAUUAUAUCCCAACAUCCGAAGCAAUUACUUGGCUCAUUUUCCCUUCAAACCUCCACCCAGAUGGUGCUUCUGAUGGCUGCCGCUUCUAUAGUCUCGACGAGAGAAAGUUUUACUUUCAGAAAAACAGUGUGUUCAAGGACUUUGGGAAGAGGCAUUUGUAUUGGUUCAUCUCACGGAUGGCUCGUAGUCUUAGAUGAAACAGCCAAUCCUUUUCUUUUGAAUCCCUUCUCUUGUAUCCAGAUUCUCCUUCCUCCCCUGGAAACUCUUCCGGAUGUUGUGUCCUCUUCCGAAUCGGGUUAGAAAAGAUUGCCAAGUAACCAUUGCCCUGAGUGACCGAUUUGUUAUUAUUUUUGUCAGCAUUAUGUCUAAAGCUGAUUGGUUUGUCAAAGAUACAGAGCUGACAGAGAGAAGCAUUAAGGCUAAGGGAAGAUCAUCAUAAAAGAGGUCAAUAUGCACUUGCUGUUGCUAAAGAGUUCAUUUGGCUCGCAAGGAAAGCAAAGGAGCAACAACAAUUUAUUUGUUUAGUAUUUUUCUUGAUAGAACCCAGGGGUAUCACAGUUCUGUUAGGUUUUUGGGUAAUGAGACGAGGAAUGAUUUUCAUUAUAUUUGCUUCACUACAACUAGUAGAAGAAGGGAUUACCGAGCAAUCUCACAACAGGCUAGCGAUGUUCUCUUCAUUAACUACAAGGCUGGUUGUUUACUCUGCAAGGCAAGCUACGCCCAUGGCUUUGCGUUAGGCUUCUCUUCAGAUGUUUCUUGUGGGUUUCUCCGUGGGCUGCUUUACAACCAAAUGGGCCGACCUUUUUUUCCAAAAAGAGUUAGAACUAUUGAUACCCUCCAACCACCGCUUACCCACUAAAUAAUUGAAAUAAAUAGUACUUUUUUUUCAACCACCUUAAUUUCUUAAAUAAAUUUGAUGUUGUCUUCUUCCAAAAUAAAAUCCCUCAUUUUCUUGCAUCAGCACGCAGUAGCAAGAAUGCAAGAAUGUCCUUUCAUCUUGAUGUAUUUUAUUAACUAACUCAUUAAAGUUCUUUGUCCCACAUCGAGUGAUCAAAAGAAACAAAUAUGCCUGGUCUGGGUUUAAAAGCAGAGCUGCAACACGAAGCUAGGCAUACCUUUCUCGGCCUUUUGGCUAAGAUCAAGUGUAGUAUCUGUUCUUAUCAGUUUAAUAUCUGAUAUGUGGAUCAUCGAUCCACACGAUAUUAAAUUAAUUUUUUAAGGGGAGGGCUCAUUGCGGUAGCUUGCUACUGCGAGCCCUGAGCGUCGCCCAUGCGUUGCACUACAGCACGAGCCUGGCGCACCCCGCACCAACUCUUAUGUUUCAAAUUUAGGACAGGACAACGAAAUUCAGAAUUUGGAUGAUGGAUUUUGAGUUCAAACAAUGUAGAAAAACUGAC